GAUAGUUGUAAUUUCAAUAGCCUUUUAGGUUACUUUUGCCUUUGACCCAAGUUGGGGUAUUGUUUUGGGUUUGACUCCAAGUUUUGAGUCACACUUGGCAAUUCUCCCUAUAUAUUAUGGUAUAAUUAGAUGUGAUUUAAAUAUGAUAUAUUCUAUGCAUGUGUUAGAUUGGUAAUAUAUGGUAUUAUUUAUAUGACCCAAGAAUUUGUGUAUUAUUUACUAAAAUAUCAUUAGUGAAUGGUCAGAAUAAAUAUCAAAAACUAGUGGCAUAUCUUGUAAUAAACACAUCAACUAAUUUUUUUUAAAACAAUAAGUUUCUUUUUCGAUAGAUUACAGUUAAUGAAAGAUAUUUUGAAUAUGUCCAAAAAUUGAAAUAUACACAGUAGCUAAAAGUUAGAUAAAAAUAUGAAUCUAAAUUAAUAGAUAAGUUGUCUAAUUCUAAUUAGUAUGAGAUUUUUGGAAAAAAGCCUAAAAAUUUCCAUGUGGACAUUGCAUCACAUAUUCAAGGUGCCAGUGAUUUGUGCCGAAAGGCUUCCUAACAAUGCAACAAAUGUUAGAUUGAUAAUUUCUAACUGUGUUAUCAAAAUACUAAGUGGAGCACUUUUAUGGUGAUCAACGAUUAGUUGAAUAAAUCUUAAUAGGUGUAGCGAAGGUUAGGUGAAGAGUUCCAUUGAUGAGUACGACAGUACAAGAUUGGUGCCGAGUUUGCUGAAGGUCGAAAUCAAGAAUUUGUAUAGUACUUGGUUUGAGUGGAUGAUAGUUUUUAUUCCAAGUUCCACAUCGUAAGUUUAGAUAAAUAUUGGCUAGUAUAUAAGCAAUGUCCGAUUCUAAAUAGUAUGAGAACUCUUUUUCGGAAGGAGCCAAAAACAAAUUCAUACGGACCUUGUGUAACGGAUCCAAAGUAGACAAUAAUUUAUUAUUUUAAAUUCAUGUAACAAUAUGAAUUAUGUUAAUUAUAAAUUUUGAUUUUUGAUUUAAAUUUUUUAAAAGGGAAAAUUACUAUAACCUUACAUAUUUAUAAAAAAAUAUUUAACUAAUAUAUCAUGAUUUUGCUUUUGCUUUUCUUAAUCAAUCAUGUUAAUUAUCAAUUUUAAAGAACCAAACUUUAUAUAAUAAGAUUAUUUUGGUUUUAUUACAAAUUUUUCCUGUUUGAGAAAAUUAUUUUAUGUUGUAGAUUAAGAUUGACUCUUCUAAAAGCAAAGUUCUGAAAGUGUUCUUAGAUGAUAUCUUAUCUAGACCUAAACCCUCUAAAUUUUUGGUGAUUAUCUUCUAAAUUGUCUAAAACUAUAUUACUAAUAAUAAAUAAUAAAUAAUACAUAAAUAAUUAUAUAAAUUAUGGUCAUCAAUAUAAAAAAAAUCAUAUAAAAUGGUUUAAUAUAAAUUUUAAUGUUUGUGAAUCAUGAAAUUUAAAAUAUUAGUAUAUUUUUUAUGUGUUUCAAAAAAUUAUAUAUUUUUAUAAAGCAAUAAACUUUUAAACUAUCAAAUAACCAUUUUAACAUCUAAUUAAGUUUAAUUGUUUCAAACGAUAGGUAUUGAGUCACUGUUAGCGCCUAACAUUUGUUGAACACUGCUUAAGGAAAAGGUCGUAGAUAGAGAUGAACUCUUUUAGCAGAAUGAGAAAGAUUAGUAAUCCUCCUAAUUUCUAAUGUUACAUGGAGGUUGAAUCAGGUCGGCUGAGAUAGGGGGGCGAGCGGUGCAACCGCCCCGGACCCAAUCCGUUGUCCCCCUAUUUCUUAAUGAGUUCGAUUUUUAAAAAAUACAUGUAUUUUUAUAUAAAAAAUAAGAAAAGGGGUCCAAAUUUUUUUUAUAUGAAAGUAUUUUUUUUAUUUUCAUAGAUUUAUUUUUAAAAAUACUUCUGAUAUUUUGAAAAAAAACAUAUAUCUAUCAGAUUUUUUAAAGAAAAAUAAUAAUUUAAAAAUUAAAUUUUUUUUACCCUAGGUCCUAUGACACCAUUGAGCCGGUCUGGGUUGAAUACAAAGAAAACGGAAAAUAUCGUCUUUGGAUUUUAUGGCUACUGCUCAUCCCUAAUUUCCCUAGCAAAUACAGGGCUUUAGAAAAAUUCCAAUAGUUUAUCAUGUAGUCUAUCUAUCUAUUAUUAUAAAGAACAAUAUAUAUGAAAGUAUUUUUUUAUUUUCAUAGAUUUAUUUUUAAAAAUACUUCUGGUAUUUUGAAAAAAAACAUAUAUCUAUCAGAUUUUUUAAAGAAAAAUAAGAAUUUAAAAAUUAAUUUUUUUUUACCCUAGGUCCUAUGACACCAUUGAGCCGGUCUGGGUUGAAUACAAAGAAAACGAAAAAUAUCGUCUUUGGAUUUUAUGGCUACUGCUCAUCCCUAAUUUCCCUAGCAAAUAAAGGGCUUUAGAAAAAUUCCAAUAGUUUAUCGUGUAGUCUAUCUAUCUAUUAUAUAAAGAACAGUUUGUUCUCUUCUCCUUAAGACACCUAGGAUUUCACCUAGAUAAGUCGAGCUCUAUGAGCACGACACGUGUCCCACCAUCCCAAAAACUAGCGUUUCAUUUAAGUUACAGAUCGUAACUGUGACGCCUCCUCUCCUCCUCUGCAUCUCUCCUACGUGAAGUUAUUAAGCACCGUGAUGCCUCAUCUCCUACUUCGUGACAGAUCUGCUCCUCUCCGGCUAUUACGUCUCUACUCUUCCUCGUCUCUCUCUCUCUCCACGUCUGUUCUUCUAUUCCCUGGGAUCUCUGCUCCAUGUCUCUCCACCAUCAUGAGAUCUAUUAUUAUAAAGAACAGUUUGUUCUCUUCUCCUUAAGACACCUAGGAUUCCACCUAGAUAAGUCGAGCUCUAUGAGCACGACACGUGUCCCACCAUCCCAAAAACUAGCGUUUCAUUUAAGUUACAGAUCGUAACUGUGACGCCUCCUCUCCUCCUCUGCAUCUCUCCUACGUGAAGUUAUUAAGCACCGUGAUGCCUCAUCUCCUACUUCGUGACAGAUCUGCUCCUCUUCGGCUAUUACGUCUCUACUCUUCCUCGUCUCUCUCUCUCUCCACGUCUGUUCUUCUAUUCCCUGGGAUCUCUGCUCCAUGUCUCUCCACCAUCAUGAGAUCUAUUAUUAUAAAGAACAGUUUGUUCUCUUCUCCUUAAGACACCUAGGAUUCCACCUAGAUAAGUCGAGCUCUAUGAGCACGACACGUGUCCCACCAUCCCAAAAACUAGCGUUUCAUUUAAGUUACAGAUCGUAACUGUGACGCCUCCUCUCCUCCUCUGCAUCUCUCCUACGUGAAGUUAUUAAGCACCGUGAUGCCUCAUCUCCUACUUCGUGACAGAUCUGCUCCUCUCCGGCUAUUACGUCUCUACUCUUCCUCGUCUCUCUCUCUCUCCACGUCUGUUAUUCUAUUCCCUGGGAUCUCUGCUCCAUGUCUCUCCACCAUCAUGAGAUAUCUUCUCAUGUCUCUCCAUCUCCACUGCCAUCUCUAUCAAUUAAUGUUUGAACAAUCGAAGGGUGAAGACGAAGCAGAGGAUCGAUACGGUGUGGAGGAGCAAAGAUGAGUGUGGAGGAAAGAAGGAGAGGCUGUACGGAGGAUUACUACCGCCGUAUAGACAAAUCUGGGUUUUGUUUGAGUUUUAUUAGAUCUGAAUUUUGCUCUUAGUUGAAACAAUUGAUGAAUAUUAUUUCUAUUUUUUGUAGGUUUGUGAUUUGAAGAUGAUGGGUUAUAUAUAGUUUAUAUAGGCUGGAAAAAGACUAUGGUAAGGAUUUGCCAUGAAGUUUGAUUCUGAUUUUGUCUCUGUUUUUGGUAGAUGAAGUUGAUGGAAAGGAUUUGCCAUGAAAGUUGAAUCUUAUUCUGUUUACUUAAUAGCUUUCUUUAAGAGACAAACUUCGUUUUAAAUUGUAAAGUUUGCUGUUUUAUCCAAUGUUUCUGACUUUAGCUGUGUAGAGAAGCAGUGAUCUUUCGAUGUGUUUUAGUUCAGCUUUUUAAUGUUGUUCAGGUUGAGUGAUAUGUUUUGUGGUUGGCAGGAGAGAGUGAUAUACAGAAAAAAGGAAAAUGGAAAGCGUAGCCAUACCAGAACAUUUGAUCAAACUCCUCCCUGUUGCACAGCCUGGAAUAUUUGAUCUGGUGAGUUAUGUCAUCUCCGCCGUGGAAGGGAAUCCAUACCAGAGCGUCUUCUACAACGGAAACAUUGAGGUAGUUAAGGAAGGCAAAAUGUGGAGAGGCAUGGACGUCUUGAUUUUCAACGGUUGGCAUUGGUGGACCCAUAUCGACCACAUCCAGCCGUGGGACUACAUGGAAGAUGAGAACAGAUUAUACAAAGACAUGAACAGACUGGUCGCUUAUCACAAAGGGAUGACCACUUAGGCUCGAUGGGUUAAUGCAUUUGUCAAUCCAUCUAAUACCAAUGUUUUUUUCAAUGGCGUUUCUCCUGUUCAUACGAUGGAAGGGAUUGGGGAGAGCCAAUGAAGUCAUGUAAGAGUCACACACAGCCAUUCUACGGGAGGAAGUAUUGAGGAGGGUCACCUGUGGCUUGGGUGAUUUUAAACAAAGUGGUGAGGAGAUUGAAGAACCCGGUAUAUUGGCUCGACAUAACCGGUCUAUCUCAGCUCCGUAAAGAUGCUCAUCCUUCUUCUUACAGUGGGAACCAUCCUGGUAAUGAUAGCCAGUGGUGUCUUCCUGGUCUACCUGAUACUUGGAACAUACUCUUUUCUCUUGAAGUCUCUUUUGUCCUAUCAUCAAUGUAUAAGUUACUGAAUAACAGUCUAUUUCUUUAGUUAACUUUGAAUUGUUGUUGCUUGAUUCUUGACUGAAAUAACGUUAUAGAUACCAAUAUGACUCUAAACAUGAGGAAAACAUCUCAGACCAAUGUUUUUUUCAAUGGCGUUUCUCCUGUUCAUUACGAGUAAGUAAACAAACAAAGAAACCCGUUUCAAUGGGUAGUUGAUAUUACUGGCUAAGCAUUUUCUAGGCAUAGCAUAGCUAUUAGGGAAUCAUAAACAUUUUAAUGUUAAUCUUAAUGCAAGAAAUUGAUAAUUUAAAUACCAUGUGAUCUAUGUAUAAUAGCACUUUAAAAUUUAUUGAUGGAGACAAAUGUUUUAUCCUGCUGUGCUCAAAACCGGCCAUGACUAUUAUUUUGAUAAUGUAUGUUAUUGUGUAGGUGAUUAUGGUUCUACCAUUCUCUAAUAUUCUCUAGACGAUCUUUUGUUGGCAGUGGAAGGAAUUGGGGAGAGCCAAUGAAGUCAUGUAAGAGUCACACACAGCCAUUCUACGGGAGGAAGUAUUGAGGAGGAUCACCUGUGGCUUGGGUGAUUUUAAACAAAGUGGUGAGGAAAUUGAAGAACCCGGUCUAUUGGCUCGACAUAACCGGUCUAUCUCAGCUCCGUAAAGAUGCUCAUCCUUCUUCUUACAGUGGGAACCAUCCUGGUAAUGAUAGCCAGUGGUGUCUUCCUGAUCUACCUGAUACUUGGAAUAUACUCUUUUACUAUGCUCUUUUCUCUUGAAGUCUCUUUUGUCCUAUCAUCAAUGUAUAAGUUACUGAAUAACAGUCUAUUUCUUUAGUUAACUUUGAAUUGUUGUUGCUUGAUUCUUGACUGAAAUAACGUUAUAGAUACCAAUAUGACUCUAAACAUGAGGAAAACAUCUCAAGAAUACAAUAUGUACACAACCGUGGAAGGAUUUAGUAGUCGAUCAAUUUAGGUCUGAAUAAGUUUCUAUACGUUUUUGUUUAUAUGUAAAUUGAUAUUUUACUCCAAAUAGAUACCUAAUCAAUAAAACAUUAAAAUUGGUUUGAAAAUAGUAGACGCUAAAGAUCAACAAAAGUAUAGCCUUUGUGGUUUAGUUUAUGCAUUAACAAAAAUUAUGCAUAUAUGCACACUGAUUAAACAUAAAUGUAAAUAAACAAUCUAUGAAGACAUUUAACCAUCAAGGGAAGCAAAGAGACGCCUGAGACCAUACAUGUCCUCUUCACACAAGAAUCGAUGCAAUAGUAAAACCAAAGCCCUUCCUCUACCCUCAGGAUUUCUUGCAAAACAAGUUUCUGGAAAAUUCCUUGCAUCGGACGGCACACACUCUGGUCUCAGGCGCUUCUCCACUCAACAAACAGACGCAAGAUCACCAAACUUAUCCUCAGACCAUCGCUCACCCGCAUACAUUUCCAAAUCUACGCACAUAUACAAAAUGAAAAAACGAAUUACAAAAAAAAGAACCAGAAAAAAGAACACAUA